rnacentral:rRNA from 1 species
CCUACGGGGAGCAGCAGUGAGGAAUAUUGGUCAAUGGGCGGGAGCCUGAACCAGCCAAGCCGCGUGAAGGAAGAAGGCGCCAGGCGUCGUAAACUUCUUUUGUCGGGGAACAAAGGGCGCCACGCGUGGCGUUGUGAGUGUACCCGAAGAAAAAGCAUCGGCUAACUCCGUGCCAGCAGCCGCGGUAAUACGGAGGAUGCGAGCGUUAUCCGGAUUUAUUGGGUUUAAAGGGUGCGCAGGCGGAAUGUCAAGUCAGCGGUAAAAUUUCGGGGCUCAACCCCGUCGUGCCGUUGAAACUGGCGUUCUUGAGUGAGCGAGAAGUAUGAGGAAUGCGGGGUGUAGCGGUGAAAUGCAUAGAUAUCACGCAGAACUCCGAUUGCGAAGGCAGCAUACCGGCGCUCAACUGACGCUCAUGCACGAAAGCGUGGGUAUCGAACAGGAUUAGAUACCCUGGUAGUC